rnacentral:lncRNA from 10 species
GAUCUAUCCUUCUGUGGAAAAUGUGCGGACCAGUUUAGAAGGAUAUCCUGCUGGGGGCUCUCUUCCCUAUAGCAUCCAGACAGCUGAAAAACAGAAUUGGCUGCAUUCCUAUUUUCACAAAUGGUCAGCUGAGACUUCUGGCCGCAGCAAUGCCAUGCCACAUAUUAAGACAUAUAUGAGGCCUUCUCCAGACUUCAGUAAAAUUGCUUGGUUCCUUGUCACAAGGGUCUAGACAGUUUCAAAGUGAAACAGAAGUUCUUCGCUGGCAGCCAGGAGCCAAUGGCCACCUUUCCUGUGCCAUAUGAUUUGCCUCCAGAACUGUAUGGAAGUAAAGAUCGGCCAUGGAUAUGGAACAUUCCUUAUGUCAAAGCACCGGAUACGCAUGGGAACAUGUGGGUGCCCUCCUGAGAAUCUUGAGGCACUGUGAAAUUUAAGUGUAAGACAUUGAGCCACAAACAUGGAAUCUCUUCUUUGUACUGGAUGUCCACUUCCCUUAAAGUCUUAUUUGCACCCUUACAAAAUCUUUCCAAAGGUCACUCUUAUGAAUGGAUGUUGGUUAUACUUUUAAUGGACAUUAACAUUCCUAAUAAAGUAUUAGUUUCUUAAUUCACUUUUAUAUGUUUUGGAAAGAAAAUUAGUGAACUUCUCUAUGUUAAAAAUACGUACUGCUUGAGUAUCCCCUGUCUGAAAUGCUUGGGACCAGAAGUGUUUCAGCUUUUGGAUUUUUUUGAAUUUUGGAAUAUUUGCAUAGCAUAAUGAGAUAUCUUGGGAAUGGGACCCAAAUCUAAACACAAAAUUCAUUUAUGUUUCAUAUACACCUUAUAUACAAUAACCUAAAGGUGAUUUUAUAUGAUAUUUUGAGUAAUUUUAUGCAUGAAACAAAGUUUUGACAGGCUUUUGACCGUGAUUCAUCACAUGAGUUCAGGCAUGGAAAUUUUCAUUUGGAGCAUCAUGUCAGCACUCAAAAAGUUCUGGAUCUUGGAGCAGUUCAGAUUUUCAGAUUAGGGAUGCUCAAAUCUAUAUAGAUAUAAAAUUAUCCUCACAGUAACAUAGAAUCUCUUGGUGCUGUCAGCUGUUGGGAAUUGAAGAUUGACUUUGUGCUUCCACCCUCCAUCCAGAAAGGCACCCUUCAUUCCACCAGAACUUUACCCAGGAAGAACACGAUCAUUUCCUUUUUCACCGAUGCCCUCUCUCAGCUUUCUGAGUACGUCUCUUGGGGUCGCUGGAGGUGAUCCUAGGAUCUGUCUCUGAGACCAAUGUGCUGUUUCAGCCCCCUGCAGCUAAGAAUUGUAUUGACUGUCCUCACAGCGGCUUUUCAUAGCUUUCAGCUUCAGCUUUACGAGGCUUCUCCUCUCUCCCUGGCACCCUGCUGGCUGCCUCACUGCUUACAGACAGGUCCCACCAAACCCAAACACCUGCCUAGGGUAAAUGGGUCUCUCUUCUAUCCCCAGAAACUUUCAGAGGAAGCAGCUCAUAGAAACAUACAAAAGCACACAAGUAUUUUGGGAAAAAAUCCUAAAAGGUGACUUAAUUUGAUGCCUUAAAUUCACAAGUGAGGAAGCUAAGGCCUAGAAGGUUAAGGAUGUCCCCAGGGUCACACAGUGAGCGGGGCUCAGAGCUUGAGUGUCUUUGUGCUUUGUGUACAUUGUGUUCUCCCUAGGGUGCUUUAGACCCUGUUUGUUUUCUUCUGCAUGAGGCUGAUUUCCAGUUUGUCAUCAACCUCUUUAUCUUAUAAUUUAGGAUAGAGUUGAACGUUAGUCUUGAAAGAUUUUCUAAAGUAGUCUUUCAAACUGUUCCUCAGAGGCCUAGGAUUUUCCAAAAGUACCUUAGGAACCUUGUAGGCUGCAGUGGGGGUGUGGCGAUAGAGCAGGAGGCAGGGAGACAGGGCUGCAGGGCCUCCCACCUUCCAACAGACAGGCUCUGCUGUAUCUGUUGUACAUACUGGGAUUCUGUAAAGGACAUUAUCUG